CCUUUCCUUCCCGUUCCCCGGCGGAAUGCGACACCAACCUAUAUAUACUUCUUCGAUCCCGACCAAAUUAUCCAUCUCAGCCUCUCCCCCGCCGAAUCACCGGCGACCAUAUAGCCAUGGCGUCUUCUUACAGAGAUCGGACAUCGGAGUUCCAGUCGCUAUCGGAGACUCUGAAGAAGAUCGGAGGAUUAUCUGCCGCUAGUGAAGCUGAAGCCGGUCCGGAUACAGCAUCGAGACCAGCUCCAACAGCAGCAGCCAGAUCCGAGUUCAACGAGAAGGCUUCUCGGAUCGGGCUAGGGAUUCACGAUACUUCUCAGAAGAUCGGGAGGCUCACUCAAUUGGCCAAAAGAUCAUCCAUGUUUGACGAUCCUACCAUUCAAAUACAAGAAUUGACUGCAUUGAUAAAGGAUGACAUUACAGCAUUAAAUGUAGCUCUUCAAGAUCUGCACACAGUUCAGAAUCUGGAAAUGGCUGGUGGGAACUAUUCUGAAGAUAGAGCUGUUUAUUCAGCAACUGUUUGUGAUGACCUCAAGAGCAAGCUGAUGGGUACCACAAAACAGCUUCAGGAUGUUCUGAAAACCAGAACUCAGAAUAUCAAGGCUCAUGAGAAUAGAAAACAAAUAUUUUCGACAAAUGCAGCGAGGGAGAAACCUCUUAUACAGCAGCCAAAAUUCGCGGCGGAGCCACCUCCUUGGUCAAGUUCAUCUAAUGCAUCUGGAGAUGCGCCACAAGCAGGAUUGCCAUCAGGUGGAGUUCAAGUUGGCAACCAAUUGAGACGUAGGUCAGGUAUUGACAACAGCCCGUCCCACCCAAUGGAAGUUUCCAUGUUACAGCAGGUAGUCCCACGUCAAGAGAAUUAUUCCCAGGGCCGUGCACUCGCCCUUCACAAUGUGGAAUCAACAAUCUCAGAGCUGAGUGGAAUCUUUACGCAUUUGUCUUCAAUGGUUGCACAGCAAGGUGAAAUUGCCAUCAGGAUCGACGAUAAUAUGGAAGAAUCGCUGGUGAAUGUUGAAGGUGCUCGAAGUGCUCUCUUAAGGCAUCUGAAUCAAAUAUCAUCAAAUAGGUGGCUUAUGGUCAAGAUAUUCGCCAUAUUGAUACUCUUCCUGAUGAUAUUCAUCUUCUUUAUAGCCUGAACUAUGUAAAUCGAGCAACGAAAUUGGCUUCUGAGCCACCCGGACUACUGCUUGUUCCUUAGUUCAGAUUAAUCCAAGUAUAGAAUAACUUUAAUUCAUGAUGCAAGACAUCAUAUGCCCAGCAUCCAGAGUCCAGUAAGAUCACCAGCAGCUCCUUCACUUCUCAGGUUAGUCUUUCCUUACCCCUUAAAUAUUUACUUCUAACCUUGGUUUAUAUCUGCUCAUCCUGAGGCCUGUUUCAAUUUCCAAUAACAAAGUUGUUAAUUCGUCAAAAAAGCUUGCGCUGGGAUAGGGAAGUAGUGAUUGCCUUGAUUGUCAGGGUCAUUGUUUACAACUAUUUCAAUAAAGGAUGUGCAAGUCUUGCUGUGCCGCCCAUUUAACGAUUCCCAGUGUGAUGCUGUCAUGUGUAAGCUUGUUGAGAACCUGACUUGCAUGGAAAUUAGUAUGUGCAUGAAUGAAUUACUGGCGAAGUUGUCUGAAAA